GCUGGGCAUGGUGAUGCACACCUAUGGUCCCAGCUACCAGGGAGAUUGAGGUUGUUGGACCUUUUGAGCUCAGGAGUUCUGAGCUGCAAUGGAAUAACUCAACUGAUUGCUCUAAAUUUGGCAUCAAUAUGGUGGGCAUGAGAUCACUAGGUUGGCUAAGGAGGGGAGAAAUGUUUCAGGUCAAAAUGAAGAAGGUCAAAGUUCCUAUGCCAAUCAAAGGUGGGAUCAAUCCAAUGAGUAGCCCCUGCACUUCCAACUUAGGUGAGACAGGGAGACAGUUUCAA
rnacentral:SRP_RNA from 1 species